CCACACACACACACACGCACGCGUGCGUGUACAGUAAAUAGGCAUUAAACAUUGGUAAUACAAUCCAUAUUCCCUUUACAAAUUUAUUGAAACAAAAGAUACGUUAUUUAUUACAUGGGAAUGAUAAAGUAAAUCUUCAUACUUCAACUG